rfam:Picea glauca, whole genome shotgun sequence.
AUGUACAUUCCUAUAGCAUUAAUGGAUCGGAUCCCAUAAAAACUCUAUAGUUAAGCACACUUGGACUAGAGUAGUACUAGGAUGGGUGACCUCUCGGGAAGUCCUAGUGUUUUACAUU